rnacentral:rRNA from 1 species
UACUCCCGCCGGCGACCGGCGCACGGGUGAGUAACACGUAUGAAACCUGCCCGUAGCAGGGUGAUAAGCGGAAGAAAUUCCGUCUAAUACCGCGUAACAACCCGAGGAGGCAUCUCCUCGGGUUUAAAGGAAGCGAUUCCGGCUACGGAUGGUCAUGCGUCGCAUUAGCUAGUUGGCGGGGUAACGGCCCACCAAGGCGACGAUGCGUAGGGGUUCUGAGAGGAAGGUCCCCCACACUGGUACUGAGACACGGACCAGACUCCUACGGGAGGCAGCAG